UUACACGGCAUGUUAGCGCUCCCGAAGACGAAGUCGCGUCGCGGGCCUGAAGGGGAAAUUUAUUUUACAGCGGGGGCCGCCUGGCGCACAUGUUAAGCGCAUCACCGCCGUCUGCCUGGAGGUGGCCUCCGCCGCGCGCCCCCGCGGCUCGGUCACGCCACGCCGGUGCGCGGUCGCCGCGCCAUCAGCUGUCGGGUCAUUCAUAACGAGAGAGCGUGUUAAAAACACGCGAACGCCGUGCGGGACACGCAGCUGGGGUGUCGUUCCUGGGAUUUGCACGCCGCAAUCCAUCACGCGGAGCGCACCGACUGCGUGCCGGUGAUUAAUGAGCUCCUCGACGCGUCCGAGCCUCCAGGUGCUAUCACGCGUCGCGUGCCGGUGUAAUAUUAGAUUCACAAAUCCGGCAGAGAGGCCGCCGUCGACAUCUGGGUUCUGCCCAGCGACGCUUUAUAUACGCGGGGAUAUGUUCAAACGGAGGCGCGUCCCUUCGCCUUCGAACUCGCCGACGUGCGUGAAGAAUGUUUUCACAGAAAAUCCAGGCGGCUCCUCCGCAGCGAGGCCGCGCCGGCGGGAUCGAGGACCCGGGAUGCAGCGGGGGUUUGUGGCGGUGAAGCUGUCAGAGUCCUGGAGGAACCAGAGGAAAUCAGCAACAGCUGUGGAGCGGAGAAAAGAGCUGUUCUGGGGGUGAGUGGCGCUAAAAGCGUGAGGAGGACAAGAGGAGCUGCUGUUUCAGCGAAGACGCGCUAGUAACGACGACGUGGACGGGAGAGGAGCGGACCACCUGCGUAGCCACGCCCCCAUCAUUACGUAGAUGGGGGCGUGUCCUGGCGUCCACCGGAGCCUGUUUGAUGUCUCAUCAAACAUUCCCGGGUCGUCUGAAGCCAAGACCCCGAGACGCUCCAGCGGAGUAAUUGCAGCUCUUCCCUGCAACCGGAAGCUAAUUCUCCGCAGGCUCACGUGUGCUCGGUGCCGUUAUUGCCACGUUUAAAUAAACGCACCCCGUGGAGGGCGAAAGUGCGGGGA
rnacentral:lncRNA from 1 species